rnacentral:misc_RNA from 1 species
AGUUGUAAUUGGUUGUUGCAAUAAGUGCCUUGAACUAGGUUGGAUAAUUCCUGCAGAUAACAUCUCAGCAACCAAUUUCUCAAUUUCAUCUUUUUGUCCAUGAGCAUAGCGAUAAGGACGCACACUAAUUGGAGUGAUAUCCGGCAAUAACGGAAUUCGAUGGUCUGUUGGCCUAUUUGGAGGCAAACCAAAAUUGUCAUUAAACACUGGUUGAAACUGUUCUAGUAGGACCCGUAGCUGAUCCUGUUUUUCCCUUUCUAAAUUGGCAUCUGUAAGAGUGAGUCUCAUCUCUGGUGAAGCUUCCCAGAGUAGUGUAUAAUAUUCAACAUCAUCUAAUUUUUCAAUAGAAGACAUAGAAGCCAAAGCUCUAGUUAAUGAAGAAUCCCCUAUCAACGAUACUAUUGAUCCAUUAUGAUUAAAGGACAUUGUCAUUUUUGCCCAAUUAACCUUCACGUCACCCAGUGUCUCAAGCCAAGCAAUUCCCAGAAUCAUAUCCACACCCCCCAAAGGAAAUAAAUAACAAUCAGUUUGAAUAUUGAAAGAUCCGAAUUCCACAAUCAAAUUAGUACACAUACCGCGUGAUUCAGACCGAUGACCAUCGCCCAGUUUUACUCCAAAAAUGGGAGUGGAUUGAACAGGUAAUCCUAACUGAGUCACCAGAUUAUUUGCGAUGAAAUUGUGGCUCGCCCCACUAUCUACCAUCACUGUCAAUUCAUGCCCCUUCAGCCUUCCUCGAAUUUUCAUCGUCUUCGGUCGAGAAAUUCCACCUACCGAAAACAACGGCAGUUCCAAUUGAGUGAGUUGGCCCUCAUCCGCCUCUGUGAUUACCAUAGGACUCUGUUUAGUUUCCCCGCCCUCUGGUUCGCCUUCUUCCGAUGUUUCCUCGUCAUCUCCAACAAUAAUUACUCGUAACGUCUUCUUUGGGCAUACAUGCAUAGGGUGAUACGGCUGCUUGCAACGAUAGCACAGUCCCUUCGUUCGUAACUCUUCAAACUCCUGGUGGGAAAGAUGACGAGUUCCUCUACUUUUGUUGGAGAAUUGCUGCUGACUCUUGUUUUGCGUUAAUGGUGGAGCUGGCAAUCUUUGAAUUUCUUUCUGUGCAAUAUUUCCAACCCUAGACUGAACUUUCUCUUUAUUUGCCCCUACCCAGUCAGUUUGAGCCUUAAAUUGUUGUUGGACUUGCUUAGAAAAGCCCAUGCCUCCAGCUUUAUAACUUGGCCCAGAACCAAAGCUCCAUCGUCCUCCUACAUCUGGUGAUUUCUCACCAACAAUCUUUGUCAUUCCAGUGUGCAAGAGCUCUCUUUCAACUUCUCGAGCUAGAGUCAUCAAUUGAAAAUGUCUCCAGUAUCCUGGGAUCAAAUCCUUUCUCGUAUUUCUGCCUUUAAUCCAUUCAAGAAAAACCCAAUAUAAAACUGGUCUGUAAUUCCAGGAACUUGUGCCGCUCUUGCCACAAAUUCAUCAAUAAAAUCAUCUACUGACCCAUCUUGGCGAACAGCUGCCAACCUUUCAUAAGGGCUAGCAAAUGCACCUCCCCCAAACCUUUGCAACAAUUCCACUGAUAAUUGUUCCCAAGUCAUAUUUGGUGAUCUUUGUUUCAACCAACGUACCCAAUGUAAUGCAGCACCUUCCAUACAAAUCAGAGCCAAAGGAACUUCCAUCUCCACAGGGGUUCGAUGAGUAGAAAAAUAUUGGUUAGCGCGAGCCAACCACCCUACAGGAUCUUGUCCGUCGAAAUUAGGUAGCUCCACUUUUUUGGCAGUAACUUGUGAAUCGUCCAUGACUACCAAAGGAACCUGGUUGCGCCGGCUAGAUGUUUGUCCCAGAUGUGUAUAUUGCAAUGGAGAGGCUGAUAUCCCUUCUGAUUCUGUUUCAUUAACUUUUCCCUUUAGCAACUGUGCUAUCAUGCUUUCCAAUAAGUCUAGCUUCUCUAAUCGUUUCCUUUUCUGAGCCAUCUCCUCCAUAACUCCACUUACCUUUCUCUCAUUCUGCUCCCGUUCUCCUGCCAUUCUUACCAACCCUUCUUCCAAUGCACCUAAACUCCUCUCUAUCGCGUCUACUCUAGAAUCCAUCCGAGUGUUUGGCAUUCACGCUGUUUUGGAUCCGGCAAGUCGAACCAAAUUGAUAGAGUUAGGAAAU